rnacentral:lncRNA from 1 species
CUACAGUUCAAGUUAUGAUUAUUUUACCGAUAGCUGCUUCUUGCUUGAGACAGUCACUAUUUUUGACUUUUCAACAUUAUUUUCCUCCACUUGCUCCACUUGUUCUAAAUUGGAAAUACAUGUGAAAUACAUCAAAUAGAUACUCUUUCAAAUGUAUAAUACUCAUGCCGACAUGUAUGUAAAUACGUAUUUCAAUUAAUUGCAUUUUUAACCAUGUAUUUAUGGAAAUUGAAUUUACGGCAAGAGAAUUGAAAUUAGAUACUAACAUUAGUGUUUUUAAACAAAGUGAAUGUAAAAUGCCUUGUAAAUGAUAUAUCUUUGAAGCACUUUUAGACACUAAUCAC